GGACCACUAAAUUCUAUUUUACUACUGUAUCUCUGAAUGCUUCAACUUAAUAAGUUAAAACUUUCAACAACGGAUCUCUUGGUUCUGGCAUCGAUGAAGAACGCAGCGAAAUGCGAUAAGUAAUGUGAAUUGCAGAAUUCAGUGAAUCAUCGAAUCUUUGAACGCACAUUGCGCCCAUUAGUAUUCUAGUGGGCAUGCCUAUUCGAGCGUCAUUUCAACCCUUAAGCCUAGUUGCUUAGUGUUGGGAAUCUGCCCUGUAUUUAUAGGGCAGUUCCUUAAAGUGAUCGGCGGAGUUAGGGCAUACUCUAAGCGUAGUAAUAUUCUUCUCGCUUCUGUAGUUGUCCUGGCGGCUUGCCGUUAAACCCCUAUAUUUCUAGUGGUUGACCUCGGAUUANGUAGGAAUACCCGCUGAACUUAAGCAUAUCAAUAAGCGGAGGAAAAGAAACCAACAGGGAUUGCCCUAGUAACGGCGAGUGAAGCGGCAACAGCUCAAAUUUGAAAUCUGGCCCUAGCGGUCCGAGUUGUAAUUUGUA
rnacentral:rRNA from 1 species